UGAGGGAAAGCUGCAAAGUACUCUGAAGAGAGAGUUCAAUAGGACGUGAACCCGUCUGCAGGGAAGCGGGUGAGACCGCACGAUAGACCCACCGUGGAUUCAGCUCAGGGGGUCGCUCCCGCCGGUCUGGGGUUCUGGGUCGACUGACUCUGGAUCUCUGAGCGGUUUGGACGGCUUCUCGGGUGCACUUCCGUGAACGUGGGCUGCGUGGGGAUCGGUUUGGGCUGCGCCUAAAGUCGUAGGGGGUGGUAGCGGGGGAAUUUCUCCUGUGAUGUACCCUUGCGUUCGGUGGCCGUGGCCUGGACCGAGGAAUCUGUCCGUCCGUUCCCUCCGGGACGACAGGUCUG
rnacentral:rRNA from 1 species